rnacentral:lncRNA from 1 species
GUACUGUCUUAAAAAGGAAUAGUCAAAAAGCAGGAAACUAUUUGGAUUAUAUCAAGAUUGGGUGUGCUUAAAGUUGUGUAUUUGCAGGAAUCUUUCAGGAGUAAGCUGGUCUUUAGCUUAAGCACAGCAAAGUACUUAACUGCACUCUCAUUUCUAUCCCUGUUCAUGGAAGGACAAAAACACAUAUUCUACAUGACAAGUGUAUCUCUGCAAUUUUGCACAGCUACUUAAAUUUUGUUUUCCUCCCCUUUCCUCCUUGUUUUUACGUGCAAAAUAAUGUCUUAAAAAUUAGUGAAGACUAAUUAAAACUAGUGAACAUUUUAGAUGUUUUUGCUGUUUCUUCCUGAUGCAGAUAACUUCUGCAAGCAUGUCAAGAAUGAAAUAUUAUUUUGUAUUGCAUGCUGCUGUGAAUGGAGGUGGCUACUGUCUAUCUUUGAGAAGCUCCACCAUCAAAAGUGUACGGGCCAAUCAGAGAGAAAGUCCGAAGAUGUUCACCUGAAAAUGAUGGGGAGGAAAUUCUGGCACUGUGAACUACUCUGCAGUAUCAAUCACCUUAUUGUUAACAGAAAAGUAGAGACUGGCACAUACCGAUACAGAGAUGGUGAUGAGAAAGGUGAACAAAGAGAGGCAGAAGCAAUGUGA